UUCUUCCUCCACUGAAUUGCAAAGUACACGAAAGUGAAAGACCCCCGGAGUGGGGAGACCCUCACUCAAGUCUCGGGAUGAUGCAACCCCCCAAGAACUCACACAAGACC
rnacentral:pre_miRNA from 14 species